rnacentral:rRNA from 1 species
GACGAACGCUGGCGGCGUGCUUAACACAUGCAAGUCGAACGGAAAGGCCCUGCUUUUGUGGGGUGCUCGAGUGGCGAACGGGUGAGUAACACGUGAGUAACCUGCCCUUGACUUUGGGAUAACUUCAGGAAACUGGGGCUAAUACCGGAUAUGAGCUCCUGCUGCAUGGUGGGGGUUUGAAAGUUUCGGCGGUUGGGGAUGGACUCGCGGCUUAUCAGCUUGUUGGUGGGGUAGUGGCUUACCAAGGCUUUGACGGGUAGCCGGCCUGAGAGGGUGACCGGCCACAUUGGGACUGAGAUACGGCCCAGACUCCUACGGGAGGCAGCAGUGGGGAAUAGUGCACAAUGGGCGGAAGCCUGAUGCAGCAACGCCGCGUGCGGGAUGACGGCCUUCGGGUUGUAAACCGCUUUCGCCUGUGACGAAGCGUGAGUGACGGUAAUGGGUAAAGAAGCACCGGCUAACUACGUG